rnacentral:rRNA from 1 species
GGUCCCGCCUGCCCUGUGACUAUAUGUUUAACGGCCGCGGUAUUUUGACCGUGCGAAGGUAGCGCAAUCACUUGUCUUUUAAAUGGAGACCUGUAUGAAUGGCAUAACGAGGGCUUAACUGUCUCCUCUUUCCAGUCAAUGAAAUUGAUCUCCCCGUGCAGAAGCGGGGAUAAACCCAUAAGACGAGAAGACCCUAUGGAGCUUUAGACAUAAAGCAGAUCAUGUUAAGAACCCUCACAUAAGAGAUAAAACAAGACGAACCCUGAUGGAAUGUCUUUGGUUGGGGCGACCGCGGAGGAAAAUAAAGCCUCCAUGUGGACCGGGACCCAAAAAUCCCAAAACCAAGAGCCUCCGCUCUAAGUAGCAGAAAAUUCUGACCAGCCAGAUCCGGCCUAUGCCGAUCAACGAACCGAGUUACCCUAGGGAUAACAGCGCAAUCCCCUUCUAGAGCCCCUAUCGCCAAGGGGGUUUACGACCUCGAUGUUGGAUCAGGACAUCCUAAUGGUGCAGCCGCUAUUAAGGGUUCGUUUGUUCAACGAUUAAAGUCCUACGUGAUC